UACAGAGGUCUCAAGCGUUGUUCGGAUUCAUUGGGCGUAAAGGGUGUGUAGGUGGCGCCGUAAGUCGGGGUGUGAAAUUUCGGAGCUUAACUCCGAAACUGCAUUCGAUACUGCGGUGCUUGAGGACUGGAGAGGAGACUGGAAUUCAUGGUGUAGCAGUGAAAUGCGUAGAGAUCAUGAGGAAGACCAGUGGCGAAGGCGGGUCUCUGGACAGUUCCUGACACUGAGACACGAAGGCCAGGGGGAGCAAACGGGG
rnacentral:rRNA from 1 species